UUUGUUAAAAUUUUCAUUUUGCCAGUGGCAUCAAGAGAGAGGAAGAUUCUUGAUUGCUUUGUAAUUCUUCAUAAUUGUGAAUGAUCAACUCACAGCCCUCAGUAUACCUGCCAAUGAACAAGAAGUUUCCUCAAUUUCCAAGAAUCAAGACUUUGUUUCUAGAUUAAAGGUUUCUUGAUGGUGUAAUGCAACUUUUGCUACUUAUAGUGUCCAUGAUUCAUCUCAAACAUUCUUCAUGGCUCAUGACUCAGCAUUCUUUUAGCUUCUGAAAUUAAAGCUUGGUGAUGUCACUAGUCAAGAGGUAGCCAACCACUUGCUUAUUUCCAUCCUGGUGAGUUUGUCAGACCACAUGGUGGCUUUUUAUUUAAGGAAUACAGAUGGAGAGAAUAAUUACAAAGUAUCAGAAAAUGAUAUGAAAAUCAAGACUCUCACAUUGAACUUGGAAUACAUUGAGAUAAAAUUAUUUGGGAUUCACCUUGGAAUAAGGGACCGAGAGAG
rnacentral:lncRNA from 1 species